UUAUAGCUUUGUGGCCCUUUCGCGCUCCUGGCUCCCAGAUAGGAGAUGGAAACUUGGGCAUUACUCUCUCGGGUUCAAGAAGAUUAACCUUUCACCUAAUGUGGAAGGUUUGCACACAUUGAAGAUCUGAAGGGCUUCCAGAAUGUUUGGUUCUUCUCCCUGGCUGCCUCUCCUAGACUUGGAAUCUGUCCUAGCCCAGUGAUAAACCAAUAGGGAUGAGGAAUAGACUUUCGGUGCCAGCUCAUUGACUUGGAGAGAGAAAAAGAAGACACUGCUGCUGGCUGUGUUCAUUUCCUUAUUAAUGACAAAUAGCCAUGGCAGUCCACGGAGAGCAUACUGUGCCUAUAGCAGGCAGCUACUGGAUUGGUAUCAUGGAGGUGUUCCUAGCCUAUAAAAUGACUUGUG